AUGGACCCUUGGCUUGAUCCUCCCAAAGCUCCCAAUGUGUUCCCAUUGAUUCCUAGUGGCCCAGCCCGGGUGACCAGGGCAACUUCCUCUGACUCCGAAGUUACCAUCGGUUGUCUCAUCAAAGACUACUUUCCUGGACCAGCCACAGUGCAAUGGAAUUCAGGCAUCAUCACCAAUGGGAUCCACCACUUCCCUCCAGUUCGGCAUGUAUCCGGCCAGUAUACUCACACCAGCCUGCUCACCAUCCCCACAAGCCAGUGGGAAUCCGACUCAUUCUAUUGCAACGUAGUACAUGAAGCUACCAACUCCAGAAUCAACAAAUACGUUGGCCAAACCAGCAGGGAUUUAUCGACUAGGAUUAAUACCUACCUUCUGCCCCCACGGCCAAAACACCUGUACAUACACAGAAAUGCCAAGAUCGCUUGUGUGGUGGUCAAUCUGGAACGGGAAGAGGGGUUGAAAAUAAGUUGGACACGCCAGAAGCGAGUCACCACGCAUCCAGAAUUAGUGGCGGUGACUGAAGAAACCAAUGGGACCUUCACUGCUGUCAGCCGCCUCCCUGUCUCUGCCCAAGAUUGGGAAUCUGGAGAAAAUUUCACCUGUUCGGUAGAAUAUCUAGGUUUGCCUCGUCCCAUCGAGAAGACAAUUUCCAAGAGCAGAGAAAAGAGCAAGGCACCCAACAUUCACGUCUAUCCUCCCAUCCCCGGCAAUUCACUUGCCAUCACUUGCCUCAUUCGUAACUUUUACCCAAGUGAAAAUGAUGUCUUCUGGGAAAAAAAUGGAAAUGCCAUUCCAGAAAACGACUACGUCAACACCCCAGCUGUGAAGGAAAAGAGUGGCGAUUCCUACUUCCUGUAUAGCAAAUUGACAAUCUCAGAUUCAGGUUGGAAUGACGGUAGCUCAUUUAGCUGCAAGAUUGUCCAUGAGGCCCUUGAAACGAAGGUCACCCAGAAGACCAUAAAGAAAACCUCCCGUAAACGUUGAAGACUGCCCUCAAUGUGCAUUGUCCUCCUGGAUUGGUCUCUCAUAUCUUUGUAAAUGGUUUACAUGCUAAUAUGUUUUGCUGCUGGCUGAAUAAAAGCAAACUCCUCAGA